GAUGAAGAACGCAGCGAAAUGCGAUAAGUAAUGUGAAUUGCAGAAUUCAGUGAAUCAUCGAAUCUUUGAACGCACCUUGCGCUCUUUGGUAUUCCGAAGAGCAUGCCUGUUUGAGUGUCAUUAAAUUCUCAACUUCAUCAGUUUGUUAAAGACUUGAUUGAAGCUUGGAUGUGGAGGUGUUGCAGGUCCGUCGCCGGUCUGCUCCUCUGAAAUGUAUUAGCGGGUUAAGCUGCCUGUCUAUUGGUGUGAUAAUUAUCUACAUCAUGGACUAGGAUUGGCGAAAUAAUUGACCAGCUUCUAAUCGUCUGCGAGGACAAUUACUUGACAAACUUGACCUCAAAUCAGGUAAGAAUACCCGCUGAACUUAAGCAUAUCAAUAAGCGGAGGA
rnacentral:misc_RNA from 1 species